UCAUUACCCAUGCUCUGAGAUUUUUUUUUGGGAAAUCUGAAAUUGUUGUUCGAGUGAAUUUGAAGAAGAGGAGAUGGACGCUAGCUCAUCAGCGAAUUCAACAAGCCUUACGUUAUUGUAAUGAAAAGGUCUGGAUUUCCAUACCAUCUGCAUAGUGCCAUUGCAUCUUGAUAAUUUUCUACCAUGUAUCUCGGGCCGGCUGUGAAGGAAGAUGCAGUAUAUGCAUCAACCACAUAUUGGUGGAAAAGACGGCCUGAACGGACUAUUGUUCCUGGAGAUGUUAACCUGUGCAUUGAGACGGUUUUGAACUUCAUGAGCAGUAUCAUAUACAUAUAGCUGUGCAAAACGUGGAAGAUCUCCUUCAACUGGUAGCAGUGAUCCAAAUUUGUGGUAAUUUUGACCAUGCAUACGAAAAGUAAAAGGAUCGUUUCCUGAAUUGAUAUCGUUAUCUAUUUUUCCACCCAUUGAUGUAAAAGCAAGCAUUGAAUUAUAUGCUCAUAUAUUGUUCCGAAACGAUGCCGACCGUGACAGUAAUUCAUCUAAGUAAGUUGGAGGUGGUCGCAAUUGUUGCAAGAUAACUCGUCCUUGUUGACAACAAAUCGAGAAUUUCAGCACUUUUCCACUAUGUUUUAGACUUUCAGAUUUCCAUACCAAAGCUUCGCAAUAAUUACAUGUGACCAAAUCAUUGUCUUUUUCUUUAUUCUUUCCAGGAAAAAAAAUAAUACAAUGUUUAGCUUAGUUUCAAUUUUUUUAAAUCCAUAGAAAGAAAAAUAUCUAGGAACAAUACGUUAUGCAUAUUGUUUUCGUUAUUCAUCAUCUAUACCUUAUUAAUUACGUGUAAGGUUAAAUAAUUUGAAUUCUUACCAUGUUUUU